rnacentral:rRNA from 1 species
UCCAGACUCCUACGGGAGGCAGCAGUGGGGGAUAUUGCACAAUGGGGGGAACCCUGAUGCAGCGACGCCGCGUGGGUGAAGGAGCGUUUCGGCGCGUAAAGCCCUAUCGGCAGGGAAGAAGGAGGACGGUACCUGAAGAAGAAGCCCCGGCUAACUACGUGCCAGCAGCCGCGGUAAUACGUAGGGGGCAAGCGUUAUCCGGAUUUACUGGGUGUAAAGGGGGCGCAGACGGCGAUGCAAGCCAGGAGUGAAAGCCCGGGGCCCAACCCCGGGACUGCUCUUGGAACUGCGUGGCUGGAGUGCAGGAGGGGCAGGCGGAAUUCCUGGUGUAGCGGUGAAAUGCGUAGAUAUCAGGAGGAACACCGGCAGCGAAGGCGGCCUGCUGGACCGUGACUGACGUUGAGGCUCGAGAGCGUGGGGAGCCAACAGGAUUAGAUACCCCUGUA